AAGGCCGAGAGCUGAUGACGAGUGUCCUUUAGGACACGAAGUGGUUGAUGCCAUGCUUCCAAGAAAAGCUUCUAAGCUUCAGGUAACCAGGAACCGUACCCCAAACCGACACAGGUGGUUGGGUAGAGAAUACCAAGGCGCUUGAGAGAACUCGGGUGAAGGAACUAGGCAAAAUGGCACCGUAACUUCGGGAGAAGGUGCGCCGGUGAGGGUGAAGCAUUUACUGCGUAAGCCCACGCCGGUCGAAGAUACCAGGCCGCUGCGACUGUUUAUUAAAAACACAGCACUCUGCAAACACGAAAGUGGACGUAUAGGGUGUGACGCCUGCCCGGUGCCGGAAGGUUAAUUGAUGGGGUUAGCGCAAGCGAAGCUCUUGAUCGAAGCCCCGGUAAACGGCGGCCGUAACUAUAACGGUCCUAAGGUAGCGAAAUUCCUUGUCGGGUAAGUUCCGACCUGCACGAAUGGCGUAACGAUGGCGGCGCUGUCUCCACCCGAGACUCAGUGAAAUUGAAAUCGCUGUGAAGAUGCAGUGUAUCCGCGGCUAGACGGAAAGACCCCGUGAACCUUUACUAUAGCUUUGCACUGGACUUUGAAUUUGCUUGUGUAGGAUAGGUGGGAGGCUUUGAAGCGUGGACGCCAGUCUGCGUGGAGCCAACCUUGAAAUACCACCCUGGCAACUUUGAGGUUCUAACUCAGGUCCGUUAUCCGGAUCGAGGACAGUGUAUGGUGGGUAGUUUGACUGGGGCGGUCUCCUCCUAAAGAGUAACGGAGGAGUACGAAGGUGCGCUCAGACCGGUCGGAAAUCGGUCGUAGAGUAUAAAGGCAAAAGCGCGCUUGACUGCGAGACAGACACGUCGAGCAGGUACGAAAGUAGGUCUUAGUGAUCCGGUGGUUCUGUAUGGAAGGGCCAUCGCUCAACGGAUAAAAGGUACUCCGGGGAUAACAGGCUGAUACCGCCCAAGAGUUCAUAUCGACGGCGGUGUUUGGCACCUCGAUGUCGGCUCAUCACAUCCUGGGGCUGAAGCCGGUCCCAAGGGUAUGGCUGUUCGCCAUUUAAAGUGGUACGCGAGCUGGGUUUAGAACGUCGUGAGACAGUUCGGUCCCUAUCUGCCGUGGACGUUUGAGAUUUGAGAGGGGCUGCUCCUAGUACGAGAGGACCGGAGUGGACGAACCUCUGGUGUUCCGGUUGUCACGCCAGUGGCAUUGCCGGGUAGCUAUGUUCGGAAAAGAUAACCGCUGAAAGCAUCUAAGCGGGAAACUUGCCUCAAGAUGAGAUCUCACUGGAACCUUGAGUUCCCUGAAGGGCCGUCGAAGACUACGACGUUGAUAGGUUGGGUGUGUAAGCGCUGUGAGGCGUUGAGCUAACCAAUACUAAUUGCCCGUGAGGCUUGACCAU
rnacentral:rRNA from 1 species